rnacentral:rRNA from 1 species
CCCUUAGACGUUCUGGGCCGCACGCGCGCUACACUGACGGAGCCAGCGAGUAUAAACCUUGGCCGAGAGGUCUGGGAAAUCUUGUGAAACUCCGUCGUGCUGGGGAUAGAGCAUUGUAAUUAUUGCUCUUCAACGAGGAAUUCCUAGUAAGCGCCAGUCAGCAGCUUGCGCUGAUUACGUCCCUGCCCUUUGUACACACCGCCCGUCGCUCCUACCGAUGGGUGAUCCGGUGAAUGAUUCGGACUUCAGCGGCUCCCCUGGGGUGCGCCGGAGAAAGUUUUGUGAACCUUAUCACUUGGAGGAAGGAGAAGUCGUAACA